UCCCCAGCACACUACUGCCCUCUGACAGGAUCUGAGUUCUGCCUGACUACACAAUUGCUCUGUCCCUCCACCAGAGCCGAGCUGCAGGACGCUGUGGGCUUGCUUAGGCCUCUGGUCUCCAGACUUGUCCAGUGAGGGAGGGAGGGGAUGAAAAAGGGAGGGAGGCCUGCUGCACCAGGUACGAUGCAGGCCCUGGCGCUGCCCCCCAAAAUGAGCACAGGGGGACACAAACCUGCCACCUGGUGCCCAACAGUUGUGGGGGCAGGAAGAGAGGCGAUGAGAGCACAGGGGACCAGCCCAGAGGCAGCCCUGCAGGAGAGCAGAAAGAUGAGUAGCAGUGGGGUACACAGGCCCUGUGGCAAGGUGGCUCAGGGCAGGACUUGAGGGUGGAGGGAGUUCAGGUUGGCACCCACAGCAGCACCCGAGGAUAGUGUAGUGAAGGGGUCCACGGGAGCAGCUGCAGAGUCAGGACCAGCCACAGAGAGCCCACAGCCCUGACUGGAGAGGGUGUCGUUGGAACACAAUGCUGCCCCUGUAGGAGGGGGCUCACCUGUCAGGCUGUGGCCUCGGGUAGAGGACACAACCGUGAACAAAAUGGAAGCUAGCAGGGAAGGGCAAGCUGGCCUUUUUCUCCUCCCACCUUCCCCUCUCACUGCAGGGAAGUCUUAACUACAUGGCCCAAGACGGCUGCUCCAGCUCCGGUGACUGCACCCUCGUUCCAGCCUGUUCGAGGGGAAGAAAGGAAGGGGCAGGCACGUACCUUUCAAGGAAUAAACCAGAGCCCACACUUAGUAUCUCAGAUCACAUCUAGAAGCCACAGCUAAAUGCAUGGGAGGGUGGGAGGUGGUGGGCAGGUGCCCACAGAACAGGACAGGCUCAGGUAUCAGGGGAGAGAGCAGGCUGUGCCUGAGAACAACGUGCCUGCACUGAGGCUUUCAAGGACAGGAGGCCCAGGGUCGGUAUCUGCCUGGAGGAUGCCGAUGGGAUGAGAAUGAGCGGAGGUGAGGCCGGGCCUGACUGGGGCGGGGACACUGGGGACAAAGGGGAUCCGUGGCUACUGAAGAGGUAAAAUCAACAAGGUUUGGUGACCCUUGAGGGCAAAGGGGUCUAGAGGGAACAGAAGGAACGCAUGCACAUUUCCAAAAUGCUACAGAUAAGAAAAGCUUACAAAGUAAGCCCUAAAGUGUCCCUGUUAUAUCUUCCAGGAAAGAAUGGAAAUUCACACUGAAAUUCACAUUGGUUGAGCUGCCACUCCUGGCAGGAGCUUCCUCAUGGGGGCUUGGUGGAAUUUCUACACGAGUUCCACUGACCUGCCUCAUGUAAUGACUGUUUGGGUCAGGACCAGGAUCAGGGUGAAGCCAAGUAAGGCCCUUGCCUUGGACACAAUGUAAAAGCGGCACCAAGAAUUUUUCAUGAGCAAGAUAAGUAAUGCUCCCAUGUGAUGUAAAUAAAA